rnacentral:ncRNA from 1 species
AUAAAGUUUUAUUUUAGCUUUAAGUUUUUUUAUAUAUUUAAUUUAUAUGUAAAUUUUAGUGAGGAUAAAUAUAUUAUUUUAAAUAAGUAAAUAAUUAUGUAGAUAAUAUAUAUAUAUAUAUAUAUAGUUAUAUAAAUUCACAAUAAAUAGUUUUAUUAAAUGAAAGAGAUUUUGAAAUAGUAAUUUAUAAAUAGUAUUGACUAAGUUUGUGCCAGCAGUCGCGGUUAUACGAAUUAAUACAAGAAAAAUUUUUAAGUUUAAGUUAAAUUAGUUUUAUAUUAAUUAUUAUAAUUUAUUAGGUGAAAUUUUUAAAUUUUAUAUUUUUAUAUUAAUAUAAAUUGAAGCUUAUAAAUUUUAUUAUUAAACUAGGAUUAGAUACCCUAUUAUUAUAAAUGUAAAUUUAAUAGCUAAGGUAGUAAAAGUUAUGUUCUUGAAACCUAAAAAAUUUGGCGGUAUUUUAGUCUAUUCAGAGGAACCUGUUUUUUAAUCGAUAAUCCACGUUGGACCUUACUUAAAUUUGUAAUUCAAUUUAUAUACCGUUGUUAUUUAAAAAUUUUAUAAGAAAAUAAAUUUUUAAGAUGCUUUUUAAUGAUAUAAAUCAAAUCAAGGUGUAGUUUAUAUUUAAGUUAAAAUGGGUUACAAUAAAUUUAUUUAUAUGGAUAUAAAUUUGCAAAUUUUAUUGAAAGUGGAUUUGAUAGUAAAAUUAAUUAGUAUAUUAAUUUGAUUUAAGCUCUAAAAUAUGCACACAUCGCCCGUCGCUCUUGUAAUAAAAUAAGAUAAGUCGUAACAUAGUAGAUGUACUGGAAAGUGUAUCUAGAAUGCA